rnacentral:lncRNA from 1 species
CCACGCAUCUGAUAAAUGUGGAAUGAAAAUGCCUACAUGUCUUGCAAAUACCAAAAAUGACCUACACAUUUUUGGGCAAACCACACCAUUAAAUGGCAAGGGCAGUUUUGUCCUUUCAACUAGUAUAUCUGGGGUAUAUACGAAAUCAAAUAGUUGGACGAAUAUUGACGUUGGGACAGUCAGAAAUGCACUCAAGGGUGGGCCAAGAUUGCUCAAUAUUUUAUUGAGGUUUUGAAUUUCAAACAUCCCAAAAUUGCUAAAAAAAACUAAGGCUGCGCUUGGUUUAGGGGCCGUUCUCUUCGUGUUUCAGUUUUUAGUUUUUAAUUUUGAAUUCAUUUUGGAUUUUGUGCUUUGAGUGUCCAUUUUGAAAUUGUUGAAAACUCGUUCUUUUUGUCAUUAAGAUAUUAAGCUCUCUUUGGCCUCCAUUUUAUAGAAAUGAAAAUGGGUUAAAUAGUGUUUUUUUGAAAAAUGAGUUGUUUAAAAAGAAUGAAAAGUUCUCGAUUUACAUGUAAUAUUAUUUUAUAAAAGAUUGUGUGAUUGAAAAUAUGAGAGAGAAAAAUGAAAUGUAAUGGAAUGAAAAAUAAUAGGGGCUAAAACUCCAUGCUGGCGACCCAAAUUCGAAUCUCAACCACCUACCAAUUUAUUUGAAAAAAUUUGGUAUUGUGCAUAUAAAAAAAAAAUCCUUUGUAUUGAAAGUAGGCUUGUGGAAUCGAACUCGUAACCAUCUCAAAGUCCGCGACUGUACCAAUUGAGCUAUUCGGCUAUUGGCAAAAAAUGCGGAAUUUAAUUGAAAUUUCUUGUACUGUGCAUAUAAAAAGAAAACUCCUUUGUAUUGAAUUGCGAUGAAACGAAAUUGAAUGCGUGACAUUAAGAAAAUCCAUGACUCAACCAACUGAGCUAUCAUGCUAUUGGCAAAAAUACCGUGUUUUCCGCAUUUUGAAGUUUAGGCUUGAUUUCUACUAAAAACAGCCAAAACGACUAACAGGUCAUUUUGCGUUUCCUUCGUAAUUUUUUUCCACGUUUUUGAAAAUUCAUUUAUAAAAAUAGGUAAGUAAACGUGUUUUCAGUAUUUUCAAAAAUUAAAAACUGAAAAUUG